UCAGCGGGCCGUGACUGGCGCGCUGGGAUGGGACCGACCAUCGGGGAGCGGCCCGAGCGGUGCGACGUGCCGCGAAGAGUGCCGUGCGCCUGGGCCGAACGU
rnacentral:ncRNA from 2 species